rnacentral:ncRNA from 1 species
GAGAAAGUAUGGUCAUAAGGCUGAAACUUAAAGGAUAUGAUGAAAGGGCACCACCAGGUGUGGAGCCUAAGGCUUAAUUUAACUCAACUUGGGGAAACUUACCAGUCCAGACAUAGUAAGGAUUGACAGACUACGAGCUCUUCUUGAUUCUAUGGGUAGUGGUGCAUGGCCAUUCUUAGUUGGUGGAGUGAUUUGUCUGGUUAAUUUCGUUAAUGAACGAGACCUCAGCGUGAUAACUAGCUAUGUGGAAGUAUUCCUUCGCGACCUACUUCUUAGAGGUACUACGGCUUUUUAGCCCGCGGAAGUUUGUGGGAAUAACAGGUUUGUCAUGCCCUUAGAUAAUCUGGGCCGCACGCGCGCUACACUCAUGUAUUCAAUGAGUAUAUAGCCUUGGCCAACGGCCGAAGUAAUCUUUGAUAUUUCAUCAUAAUGGGGAUAGAUCAUUGCAAUUGUUGUUCUUCAACGAUGAAUUUCGAGUAAGUGCGACUUAUCAGCUCGCGUUGACAAUGUCCCUGUCCUUUGUACAGAUUGCCCGUCGCUCCUACCGAUUGAAUGAUCUGGUGAAAUGUUCGGAAUGGGGCAACAUAAGGGGUUCACUGCCUGCGAUAUUGCGAGAAGUCCAUUGAACCUUAUCAUUUAGAGGAAGGAGAAGUCGUAACAAGGUUUCUGUAGGUGAACCUGUAGAAG